AGAGUUUGAUCAUGGCUCAGAACGAACGCUGGCGGCGCGCUUAACACAUGCAAGUCGAACGGGAUCGGGGGGCUUGCUCUUCGAUCCAGUGGCGCACGGGUGAGUAACGCGUGGAUAACCUGCCCUGGUACCUGGGAUAACAUCUCGAAAAGGGGUGCUAAUACCGGAUGAGCCCACGGGGUCCUCGGACCCUGCGGGAAAAGGAGGCCUCUGAUGCAAGCUUCCGGAUCAGGAUGGGUCCGCGUCCCAUUAGCUUGUUGGCGGGGUAAAGGCCCACCAAGGCGACGAUGGGUAGCUGGUCUGAGAGGACGAACAGCCACACUGGAACUGAGACACGGUCCAGACUCCUACGGGAGGCAGCAGUGGGGAAUUUUGCGCAAUGGGCGAAAGCCUGACGCAGCGACGCCGCGUGAGUGAUGAAGGCCUUCGGGUCGUAAAGCUCUGUCGGAGGGGAAGAAAUGGAAGGGUGUUAAUACCAUCUUUCCUUGACGGUACCCUUAAAGGAAGCACCGGCUAACUCCGUGCCAGCAGCCGCGGUAAUACGGAGGGUGCGAGCGUUGUUCGGAUUUAUUGGGCGUAAAGCGCGUGCAGGCGGUUUUCUAAGUCUGAUGUGAAAGCCCCGGGCUCACCCCGGGAAGUGCAUUGGAAACUGGGAGACUUGAGUACGAGAGAGGGCAGCAGAAUUCCUGGUGUAGGGGUGAAAUCCGCAGAUAUCAGGAAGAAUACCGGUGGCGAAGGCGGCUGCCUGGACCGAUACUGACGCUGAGACGCGAAAGCGUGGGGAUCAAACAGGAUUAGAUACCCUAGUAGUCC
rnacentral:rRNA from 1 species